UACGUAGGCAGCAAGCGUUGUUCGGAGUUACUGGGCGUAAAGGGUGCGUAGGCGGCCCUGUAAGUAUGGUGUGAAAUCUCCCGGCUUAACUGGGAGGGUGCGCUAUAGACUGCGGGGCUCGAGUGUGGGAGAGGAAAGUGGAAUUCCUGGUGUAGCGGUGAAAUGCGUAGAUAUCAGGAGGAACACCGGUGGUGUAAACGGCUUUCUGGACCAUAACUGACGCUGAGGCACGAAAGCCAGGGGAGCGAACGGG
rnacentral:rRNA from 1 species